rnacentral:rRNA from 1 species
GACGAACGCUGGCGGCGUGCUUAACACAUGCAAGUCGAACGGAAAGGCCCUGCUUUUGUGGUGUGCUCGAGUGGCGAACGGGUGUGUAACACGUGUGUACCCUGCCCCUGACUUUGGGAUAACUUCAGGAAACUGGGGCUAAUCCCGGAUAGGAGCUCCUGCUGCAUGGUGGGGGUUGGAAAUUUUGGGGGGGUGGGGAUGGGCUGCCGGUUAGCUAGCUGGUUGGGGGGGGAGUGGCUUACCAGGGGUUGGACGGGUGGCCGGCGUGGGUGGGUGACCGGCAACAUUGGGACUGAGAUACGGCCCAGACUCCUACGGGAGGCAGAAGGGGGAAAUAUUGCACAAGGGGGGGAAGCCUGAUGAAGCAACGCGGCGUGCGGGAUGACGGCCUUCGGGUGGUAAACCGCUUUCGCCUGUAACGAAGCGUGAGUGACGGUAACGGGAAAAGAAGCACCGGCUAACUACGUG